UCGCUAUUUGCUCGGGGUGGUGGUGCAAAAGGGGCUCGCAGGAAACGGCACUCAUCUGAACUACAUGAGCGAAAGCAGAGAGAGAAAUGGGGAAAAAAAUGAGUGAAGGAAGAAAAAGAGAGAGAGAGUGCUGUCUGUGCAGCAUUUUUUUUUCCCCCCCUCACUCUUGUCUACUCCGGAGAGAAGAAAAUCUGCAGGACAAACUUCAGCCAGCUGUGAGGGAGAGAAAGAGAGGAGGAAAGGAAGAAUAAAAGACAAAGAGAUAGAGGAGAGAAAACCUGUGAAAUGCUGAUGAGUCCCUUUUCUUCCAGCCAGCCAAACCAGUAUCUCCAACAUGCGAUCAUGGGAACCAGCCUGGUAGUUAAUGGUGUGAGAGUUCAGAUGUGCACCGAACAUGCGAAAGGAAGCAAGAAACUGGAAAGGUUAACAGGAACUUCAGAUGGAGGGUUCAGCUUCUGGCAAAGUGGCCCUGAGAGAGAGCAUCUUCCCACCUCCGGACCAGCUGACCAGCUCCUCUUGCCAGAUGCCUCCUAUGCUGCCAGCCCUGACCUGUGAUCUGUGGGCAUCAUCCAGCAGGUUUUUAAUACGUCGAUCCUUUGGCCCUACUCAGACCCCCAGUCAGACUCUAUUUUGAUGUGACGCGAAUUCCGGCCGGUCCCGUGAAACUCCAAAGUGCGCCAACGGGACAUCGGACACAGUAUGACACUUUUCUCAUGUGAUACCUCUUCUGGUCAGUUCUCCCAGUGAGCUUGUGAAAUGUCGUUUUAGGGGUUCAACUCGGCGGUUUGUCUCUCUCCUGAUAGGUCAGUCCGUGCCACAAAUGUGCAGAAAGUGCAGUUAUAAAAAGCUGAUGAGCAAAUACAGCUCAGUAAACGUCCAGCAAGUUGUACAUUUGGAGGUUCUGCUCUGAAAGCCAUUAGUCUUUAUAAGAUAUUUCUGUUUUAACUCGUUAAAAAUGAAUAAUUCACAAACACUGGAAAAGAUUAAUAUUAUUGUUAAUGAAAUGUCAAAUAUUCAAUUAAGCAAAUGGUCAGUUGUGUGGCCUCAUUGUUUGAAUUGUUUUUGCUCAGUCGUGUUGUUUUCAAAGUCUUUAGCGUAAAGGGUUUCUGUUUCAGCAAAUUAAAUUUAAUGUCGGUCUGUAAAGCUAAAAUGCCAGUUUCACUGCACCGGACCAGAAAACUGGCCUGUCUGAUAUUCUUUUCGGUAAAUAAUAUUUAUAACUAUGGGCAUUAAAUAACUAAACUAACAACUAAAUUUAAAUUUAAAUCUUGAAAUAUUUCAUAGUCAUUACAUAUAUAUUUCAUUCUAUGUAUUGUAUUCUGUCAUAUGUGACUUUUUCUGCAACUAAAUAUUUUGUAUUUUAAUCACUUUUUUUCAUAGUUGAAAGCUUACUUUUAGCAUUUUACAUUAGAUGCUAAAAUAUCCAUGAUUCCAGUAUGAUAUAACAAAUGCAUCAGAAAUUGCUAUUGUAAAUGAAUUAAUGAAAAUAUGUAACAUUA